rnacentral:lncRNA from 1 species
CAGCACUCCUUGGGUCCCCCUCUCCUUUGUUGGGAGGAGGGAGUGACUCACCUCCGAGGGAAUUCAGGAAGUCUCUGGAGGACGGUUGCAAUUUGUUGACUGUUUUCCACAGUCUUGUCGGUUGUCAUAGCUCGACUUGAGACAGCCCUGCUUCCAGCCACCCUGUCAAACAAUGCCUGCUUUAUGACUUCAACGGCCAGCAGCCUGGAGUCUGCAAGGGCCGCUGGCUCCCCCUGCGCGCCCAGGACCGGUAGGCGGAGGGGACCAGCAGGCUGAGGGGAUGCGCCUCCAAAUCGAGGGCGGGUACACGUUCCCUGUUCUCAACUCACCGCCAAAUAGUGCAAUCGCUCCAGAAGUUUUUGGAAAAAAAUAUCAUUCAGCCUAAAAGGCUAAUUUUAUGCUCUACUCGAAAUGACUGCCAAGUUUUUGAAAAAUGCCAGAGUUAAAAGGCUUUUGUGAAAAGGGUGCUCUGGGAGAAGGAAGGAGAAGUGAAGGAAUGUUCUCACCCAGACACUACCUCACUGUAACAUUGCCAGAGGAGAUGGAAAUCUGCACGAUGGGCAGGAGCAGACAGGUGGGAGGCUCGUCACGACCAAGGACCUGGAGGUGGGAACGGGCUCUGCUCUGCGUGGCCUGGCCAGCCCCCUACAGUUUGACGCCAUCUUUCCAUUCUUGCAGUAAGAGAGCAACGAGCAGGGAAGCCCUUUUCUUCAUUAGUGCCAUGCUAGGACAAUAAGGGGGGACAUCCUCUGUCUUAUUCAAUGUGUUGUCCUCUGGACAAUGCUUUCGAUUAUAGUGAAACCUAAAGAAAUCAACAACUUUUGUUCGAUCUGUGCUUCUUGUUUUACAGUUUCGGUAUAUUCUCCCCAAACCACUUCUGCUCCUGUUCCCCAGGGACUUUAUUCCAUUUUCCAUUUUAACACCAUUCUCGUUUUCAAAAUCACUCAUGCAGCACACAGAAAUAGAAAUGUAGGCUACCUGAGUCAGCCUGAAAGAGUAACUAUCCGGUCCCUCCCCAUCUGAAAUAAUUUUACCAAAAGUCAGCAGAGUUAUUGAGCACCAGCCGCGUGGAAGCCUCUGCCAUAUGUUAUGAGAAGUACAAAGAACAGGGCCUUUGAUCGAACUGGGGGCACAGCUUAUUUAGGUGACAAAGAUAAGUGCAAACAUUGACUGAGUGCUUACUAUGUGCCAGGCAUGGUGGUUUGGUAAAUAUAACUCAUUAAUCCUUGCAGUAAACUCAAGAGAAGGGCGCUGACAUUGUCUUUUUCAACAGGUCAGGGGAUGACACACAGGUGGGCUAAGUAGCUUACACAAGGUCACCCAACUCAUCGAUGGCUGGGCCAGGAUUUGAUCUCAGACAGUCUGACUCCAUAACAUAUUCACUUAACCCUGUGCACUACUCAGCACAUAGGAAGUCACAGGUGACCACUGACGGGCAAAAUUUUGCAUCUCACCAGUAAUUCAGGGCAGCAGGAGACUGUAGGUUAGGAUGUUCGUUAAAGUACUCAAAGAGAUAGUAGAUUUGAGUUGGCUGCAGAAAGCUGGGCGAAAUUUACAAACAAAGGCAGGGAACUCUAGGCAAGAGGGAAGGAUGGGCAACACCAUAGAGGCAGGAGGGGGCCCCAGCCGUUCUGAGGUACUAUGGUCAAUAGGGCCCGAUGCACUGUUCUGGGUAAUGAAGAUCGAAAAAGACAAAUUCCAUGCUUUCAUGUACCUUAUAGAAUAAAUACGUUCAAAAAU